rnacentral:rRNA from 1 species
GGUGGGGACUCAUGGGAGACUGCCGGGGUCAACUCGGAGGAAGGUGGGGAUGACGUCAAAUCAUCAUGCCCCUUAUGUCUUGGGCUUCACGCAUGCUACAAUGGCCGGUACAAAGGGCUGCGAUACCGUGAGGUGGAGCCAAUCCCAAAAAACCGGUCUCAGUUCGGAUUGGGGUCUGCAACUCGACCCCAUGAAGUCGGAGUCGCUAGUAA